UACGUAGGUCCCGAGCGUUGUCCGAAUUUAUUGGGCGUAAAGCGAGCGCAGGUGGUUUAUUAAGUCUGGUGUAAAAGGCAGUGGCUCAACCAUUGUAUGCAUUGGAAACUGGUAGACUUGAGUGCAGGAGAGGAGAGUGGAAUUCCAUGUGUAGCGGUGAAAUGCGUAGAUAUAUGGAGGAACACCGGUGGCGAAAGCGGCUCUCUGGCCUGUAACUGACACUGAGGCUCGAAAGCGUGGGGAGCAAACAGG
rnacentral:rRNA from 1 species